GGCAUAAAAGUAGCGUAAGUGAUUUGUUUUUUUAUUGUUUUCAAGUAUGAAUGAAGUUUUUAACAACUUUUUUGUUUUUAUUUUAUUUGAACUAUUUUUUUGAUUAAAAAUUAUUAAUUAAAAUAUAACAAAGAUAAGUCUUCGGAAAUUUUUUUUUAGUAGAUUUUUUUUUUCUAUUAAUAUUUUCUUGGGGAUGGAUUUUAAGAAAUUUUUUUUACUAUUUUUAUUUUUUUAAAUUACUCCGGAGUUAACAGGGUUGUAGACACGUAAAUAGUUUUUUAUAUUAGUGUGCUGCGCUACAUCGAUGUUGUAUAUUUUUUAUUAAGGAGGAGAGAUUGUUUUUUUUUUGAGACUGUUCUUCUUGUA
rnacentral:rRNA from 1 species